rnacentral:lncRNA from 1 species
AAGCAAGCCUCGCAUCAGACAUGCCAGUGAAUAAGUAGAAAUAAUCUAUUGUCAUUAAAAAAGUCACAAAGGUGAAAGGAAAUAAAACUGAGGGCAGAUUAGAAUGAUUUAGACAUUUUAUUUAGUAAAAUGCUAAGAAUAAUUUUAGCUGCCUGAAUUUUAUAUACGUUUUUUAACAUACAAGAAUCAUAUAUUGCAUUUUUCUCUGAAUCAAAAAACCAAAGCUAAACGUACUUUGAUAAAGAGUUCACAAGUGGGAAGUAUCUCUCACCUAUGGAGUGAGGUGAAGCUGAGCCUAAAUACGUUUUAUAUUCUCUGAACAUUGAGGUCUGUCUCUCGAGAGAAUAAGUUUGUUGAGACUAUUAAAAGUCAACCCUGGUUACUUUAAAAAAACUCUUAUAUGGCUUUUUAAACUUUGGAGCCAGCCAGUGCAGAGAUAGGAUGAAAAUAAGUAUUUUUCUUAUGAAUUUAAAAUCUUAGAAUAUAUUACUUCUUAAAAUAUUUGAAUCAUUUUUCAGUAGAAAUAUAUAGGAUUUCUGUUUCCUAUACUAUCCCAAUUACAUGUGUAGAUGAACUUUAAUUUUUAACCUUGAACUUUAAUUUUUUUUUCUCUAUUGGUUAUACAUGUUUCUGCUCACUUGCUGACUGGUACUUUUUUGUGUGUGACAGAGCACAUUUUCAUCCUAACUUUAUCAUUUCUAUUUCAGAUUCACUUAACUAAGAAGAGAAAUAUAUUAUCUCUUUGCUAUACUACUACUGUUUAAAUAGCAUGGACCUUAACACACAUGUAGACUCUCUGAGAAAACAGAAGUAGCUAGGCAACUGCAGUUGCUGGAGUGAACGGAAGAAAAAAAACUCCAGGUCUAAUAAGAUAACUCUUUCCUUUAUUUCUUCCUUGGGCCAGGUAUGGUUCCUUAGACAAACUUCCUUCCCUACUGCCACAGUGAACCAACAAUUUUCUCACCCUGUGCUGUCCAGUUGUUCUACAGCUCUCUCUCAACUGUUCUUUGAAACCUCUAGAAGGGAAGUAGAAGUAGAAUUUCCUGCAUUUGUUUAAUAAGCUAACUAAAGGAAAAUAUUCUAGUAGAAAAUGUGAAUGACAAGGAUGUUGGAAGACAACAGAUAAAACUAUUAAUAUUUUUCCCUGAAUUAAAUUUUCCUGCAAUGGUAGAGGUUCUUCUUGUUCAUUGCUUUUUCUAUAGUAAAAUACAUUCAGUUGGAGUAAAUAGAGACAUGAUAAUUGAUGCAAAAGAAAGCUUGGAUAUUCAUCAUGUCUAAGUUGCCUUAAUUAUAACUUGUCUCAAUGAGUUCAGAACUAAGGAUAUCACAUAACUACUAAGUGAAAUUUAGUGUGAGAUAUAAUAUGGGUAUGAUUUUUGGAAAGGAAAUUUCCAGUUUUGUGAAGCAGCUAGGAAUUAACUGUCAGUAGAGGUACAAAUGAGAAACACUGAUAUUAUUGUUGUUUCUUUUAAGAUCCAUGACACAAGAAGCUUUGAAUAAUAAGUAAAUGAUGUGAACAUCACGUGUGGGUAGAUCCAGCUUUAACAAUUAGUUGUCAGUUGCACCCUCAGAAACCCAAAUAGAACAUAGAAAAAUGGGCUUAGGGUAUGUAAGGAGUUCCAAGCGCUGAAGGCUGAAAUCUGUGUAAUUUUACAGGAAUGCUCUGAAAACUCUUUGAUUGAUAGGAAAUUCCCUCUUUACAAAAGAUGGCAGGCAGAUCUUGAAAAACUGAGAUCCCCAUUUGAAGCAGCUGCAAAUCAACACUAACCAAAAUCUGAGUAAUCACUUCAGUAGCUUGGUACUGUUUGAGGGUUGUGAGUAACAAACCAACCAACCAGAAAGUCUUCCAAAGAAACAUUUGAGAGAAGUCAGGAAAAGGAGUAUAGAUGAAGAACAAACAGCACCAUUUAAACUUCAUUGCGUAUCUGGAAUGACUUUGAGGAGUACCAUUUUGUAGUUUCCUGAGUCUGUAUAAUUGUCUUAAUAUUUCCUACAUAUACCAUCUGCUACUGGGCUAGCAAGUAGAAUUCACUUUGUAAUAUAUAUGUAUAUUUUUGUUGUUGUUGUUGUUCUUUUAGGGCUGUGCAUGUGGCGUAUGAAAGUUCCCAGGCUAAGGGUCCAGUCAGAGCUGCAGCUGCCAACCUAUACCACAGCCACAGCGAGGCCAUAUCCAAGCUGGGUUUGUGAUCUAAACCUCGGCUUGCGGCAUGCCAGAUCCUUAACCCACUGAGUGGGGCCAGGGAUCAAACCCACAUCCUCAUAGAUACUAAUUGGGUUCAUUACUGCUGAGCCACAGUGGGAACUCCAGUAAAAUAUAUUUUUUUAAAAGAAUGGUAUAUUUAUUUCUAAGACAGUAGGGCAGACAGAAGUUAAAAAUAAAUGUAUUUUUCAGUUGAUAUGGCCAAAGACUAGGCAAGUAACUGAGCUGGUAGCAGAGAAAAAUAGAAAUAAGGUGAACUAAGAAUAGAAUACAAAAGAAUAUGUGAUAGUGUGGGUCAGUAGACUUGACAGGUGGGAAGCUCAUGUGUUCCCUUAUUUUUUUGUCUGCACCAAUAUUAUGUAAUUAGACAUUUAUAUGGUACCCCAUGAAUCUGUUCCUUGGUAUGCUUGUAGAAUGGUUGGUAUUAUAGAAAAACAUAUGCUUAUUUUUCACACUUAUGCAAAGUGUGUUCUAAUAGGAACUUUAUGAUUUACAUUCCAAUUAAUAGUCUGAUGACAUUUAUCUUAAAGAAUGAUUUACAUCUACUUUCUAUCUUUUGCAUUUCCUUUUGUCUUCAUUUCCAUUCCAUGAAAUUUUGUGAGAUAUGGUCUCUCCUUAAGUUUAUUUAAAUUUCAUUUCAGCAAAAAGCUAUUUGGGCAAAUAGCUUUAUUAGCUAUUUUAUAAUUUAUUAGCUAUUUUCCUUAAAAAUGUCCCCGGCAAAAGUCUGUUGUAUCAUUGCCAAAUAUAUAUCUCCAAAUUCUCUUUUAUGCAAAAAAUAUUUCAUACUGUAAUUGGUCACAGUGUAAAGCUGGUAUUUAGAAAAUAUAUUUCUCAUAUUUACAGCCAUAAUAUUAGAAGCAUAAAAUUUAAAAGAUGAAAAUGUGUUUUAUUUUCAGCUAAGGGCAUGAUGUAUUUGUAUUGCUAUUAUAAAUAUCUAUCUAAAGAUAAAUUUUCCUCAGAAGUUGAAGAUCUGCCACAUAAAAUGUGUUCAUAUAUAAUGAUCUUUUAUAUAAUUUACAUUGGGCAGGUAUAACACAUAGUCUUAAUAAAGGAAUAUGUGUUUAUUUUAUGUUGUUAAUACCUGCGUAAACCUUCAAAUUACCAACUGGUUUACUGAUAUUGUAUUUUAUAGAGUAUGAUCAACAUGUGAAUGUUAAAAACCUGUGCUUCAGCUGUUUUCUAUUUGAGCUAAAAAUACAAUCUGAAUUUUGCAUAAGAGUUGUUGAAUCCACAUUUGUCUCAAUACCAAAGGGGUCAGAGAGAAUCUCUCCUGCUUAGGCAGGAGUCAAGGUGCCAGAUGUGCAGUAGGGUCUAACCUGAAUUAGACAUAGGUAGCCAUUGUUCUUUGAGCCUUUCUAAAAUAAGAUGUAAAAUCACCAGGAUAGGUUAACCAUACUACAGAUAAAGUUAUCCACAAAAGUAUUUAU